UGUUCAACGGCCGCGGUAUCCUAACCGUGCGAAGGUAGCGUAAUCACUUGUUCUUUAAAUGAGGACUAGUAUGAAUGGCACCACGAGGGUUGCACUGUCUCCUUCCCCUAAUCAAUGAAACUAAUCUUCCCGUGAAGAAGCGGGAAUUUAUUUAUAAGACGAGAAGACCCUAUGGAGCUUUAAAUUUCUCUUCAAACGCCAGACAUAAACCCUGAACAUCUUUCACCAACCCAGCGCCAUGAAGAUGAAUUUUAGGUUGGGGUGACCACGGAGAACAACACAACCUCCACGCUGAAUAGGCCUAAAACCUUGAACUAAGGACCACAGCCCGACGAACUAAAAAAUUAACACCCAUUGACCCAAUUCUUUUUGAUCAACGAACCAAGUUACCCUAGGGAUAACAGCGCAAUCUACUUCAAGAGUCCUUAUCGACAAGUGGGUUUACGACCUCGAUG
rnacentral:rRNA from 1 species